rnacentral:lncRNA from 1 species
GAAAAGUCAUUCUUAACUUAAGCUAAAAAUAACUUAAAUUUAAGCUAAAAAACAAAAAAGGGUUUAAAAGCAGAAAGGGGGUGUGGAAAUGGAAAGGAAAGAAAAAAAGAAAAAAACAGACAGGUGAACAGUAAUGGGCCUUCAAGGCCUGUUUUCUUUAAUCCAUGCGCCGGUUGUAUAUAUUAAUCCAUGCGUCUUGAGAGAAAGAAGAAAAAAUCAUUUUUUCAUAAAAAUUCUCUCUCUCUUCUUUCUUCUCUCUCGUCCUCUCCCUUCUCUGGUAGGGUUCCGGCGAACCUCAUCAAUGGCCGCCGUGAGCCACCGCGUCGGAGCGAUUCCGGCGGCAGUUCCGGCGGCCUAACCCCCCCCAAAUUCAACCAAAAUUCACCCAAAGCUUCAUCUCAACGUCCUAAACCCAAAUAUCAACUUAGAAAAUCCUAAAUCUAAACCAAAAUCCCUAGAUCGGGAAAAGAAAAAAACAGUUCCGGCGGAAAAAAACUCAACCUUUUCUUUGAUUUAUUCUGGGUUCGUUGGUCUUGAGUUGUUUAGCUCCGGUUGAUUUCGUUUUGGUUUGAUGGUUUCGUUUUAUUUCGUUACUAUGAUGAUGAGAUUAUUGUUUAUGGUGAUGGUAUGGAUCGUUGUUACUGUGAUGGUGACGUCGUUACUGUGAUGGUGAAAUGGUUACUGUGAUCGGGAAUUGUUUGUAUUGUUUUUUGAUUUUUCUGUUUGUUUUGACUUGAUUUUGAAAAGAGAGAAAUUUUUGUUGUUGUUGUUGUUCUUGCGGCUGAUAUCAGAAAAUUCCCCCUCGGGAACUGUGCAUUUAAUGCACUAUUUAUGGUGUCAGGAGUUUAGGGUUUGUUGAUGUAAUUUUUACCUCAUUUGGACAAAAAUGCCCUUUUGGGCCUGGAUCAGGACAAAAAUGAUAUCUGGACUUCUUAAGAAAAAAUUGGUAAAAGAAAUACCACAAAUAAAAAAUAAAAGUUAAAAUAAUAAUAUAUAUAAUAAUAAUAAUAAAUAAAAAAACGAAAAUGAAAUAAAUACAUAAAUAAAAGUUAAAAUAAUAUAUAUAAUAAUAAUAAUAAAAAAUGAAAAUAAAAAUAAAUAAAAAAUAAAAAUAAAGAAAUAACAAAAUCAUAAUAAAAAUAAAAUGAAACCACAUAAAUGAGGUAUUUUAAAAUACUUUUCUGCCGAAAUUUCG